GAUCUCACUCCUCCCUAAGACU
rnacentral:tRNA from 1 species